UAAAGUUGCGCUUGAUAAUCUAGUUGAUAAGUCCCUCGUACAUGUAAGAUUGAAUAUUGUCGUGAUGCACACUUUGUUACAAAAACUAGGCAAGGAGAUCGUUAAUGCACAGUCCAAGAGUCCUGGAAAACGGGAAUUUCUUGUGGAUUCGAGGGAUAUCUGCAAUAUACUUGAAGAUACUACUGGUACUAAUAAGGUUUUAGGUAUAUCUUUAAAUAUGGAUGAGAUCGAUGAGUUGCAUGUACAUGAGAAUGCCUUCAAAGGGAUGCAUAAUCUCCUUUUCCUAAAAUUUUUCUCAAAUAAAUACAUGCUUGGGGAAAAGGUCAGACAGCACUGACCCGAUAGCUUCGACCAUUUGCCCCCUAAACUCAGAUUAUUGUGGUGGGACGGAUAUCCAAUGAAAAGUAUGCCUUCUAAUUUUCGACCUGAAAAACUCGUCAAGCUGAAAAUGGAGAAUAGCAAGCUCGAAAAGUUGUGGGAAGGAACUCGGAGGCCUAGAUGUCUCAGGGAGAUUAACUUGUGGGGAUCUGAAAAUCUAAAAGAAAUCCCAGAUCUUUCAAUGGCCACCAGUCUAGAGAAACUUUAUCUUGGGAAUUGCUUGAGUUGGGUGGCGGUUCCUUCCUCUAUUCGGAAGUUCAAUGAACUGACAGAGUUGGGAAUGUUAGAAUGCAGAAAUCUGGAAGCUCUUCCAA